rnacentral:rRNA from 1 species
UACGUAGGGCGCAAGCGUUGUCCGGAAUUAUUGGGCGUAAAGAGCUCGUAGGCGGCCUGUCGCGUCUGCUGUGAAAUCCCGGGGCUUAACCCCGGGCGUGCAGUGGAUACGGGCUGGCUGGAGGCAGGCAGGGGAGAACGGAAUUCCCGGUGUAGCGGUGAAAUGCGCAGAUAUCGGGAGGAACACCGGUGGCGAAGGCGGUUCUCUGGGCCUGUUCUGACGCUGAGGAGCGAAAGCGUGGGGAG